UCAAAGUGAAGAAAUUCAACC
rnacentral:snRNA from 1 species